AGAUUGAACGCUGGCGGCAGGCCUAACACAUGCAAGUCGAGCGGUAGAGAGGUGCUUGCACCUCUUGAGAGCGGCGGACGGGUGAGUAAUGCCUAGGAAUCUGCCUAGUGGUGGGGGAUAACGUUCGGAAACGGACGCUAAUACCGCAUACGUCCUACGGGAGAAAGCGGGGGACCUUCGGGCCUCGCGCCAUUAGAUGAGCCUAGGUCGGAUUAGCUAGUUGGUGAGGUAAUGGCUCACCAAGGCGACGAUCCGUAACUGGUCUGAGAGGAUGAUCAGUCACACUGGAACUGAGACACGGUCCAGACUCCUACGGAGCAGCAGUGGGAUAUGGACAAGUGGACGAAGCCUGAUACCAGCCGAUGACCGCGUGUCGUAGAAGG
rnacentral:rRNA from 1 species